CCUACGGGAGGCAGCAGUGAGGAAUAUUGGUCAAUGGACGAGAGUCUGAACCAGCCAAGUAGCGUGAAGGAUGACUGCCCUAUGGGUUGUAAACUUCUUUUAUAUGGGAAUAAAACGUUCCACGUGUGGGAUUUUGUAUGUACCAUAUGAAUAAGGAUCGGCUAACUCCGUGCCAGCAGCCGCGGUAAUACGGAGGAUCCGAGCGUUAUCCGGAUUUAUUGGGUUUAAAGAGAGCGUAGGUGGAUUGUUAAGUCAGUUGUGAAAGUUUGCGGCUCAACCGUAAAAUUGCAGUUGAAACUGGCAGUCUUGAGUACAGUAGAGGUGGGCGGAAUUCGUGGUGUAGCGGUGAAAUGCUUAGAUAUCACGAAGAACUCCGAUUGCGAAGGCAGUUCACUGGACUGCAACUGACACUGAGGCUCGAAAGUGUGGGUAUCAAACAGGAUUAGAUACCCCUGUAGUC
rnacentral:rRNA from 1 species